UGUGAGGUCCUGCGUGGUCCAGCCGUCCAAUUCACCGUAUGGUGAGCAAAAACCCAGCUGCACAACUGGGUCCCUACGUGAUCGAUGAAUAUUCGCAAUAGAUGAAAUAACAACACCUAUCUACCGUAGAUUACGCGGGUCGCAGUGGCCCUUAGGGCCGGUUGUCGCAAAUGUCUCACGGACAGGAAAGUCGGCCCGCGACGGAUGCGCAGCGUCGUUCUGUACAUAGCGGCGUUGAACGGUACCGUCAACGGCCGCCCUGAUCCCGUGAGCAUUGCCGGUACCUAUGCCUUCCUCGUUGUAAUCUAUGUAUGCCGCAUCACGUAAAAUAAAUACCGGAUAUCAUAACAUACUUAAUUAAUAAACGUCUAGGGUGGAGGAAUGCCUAACCACCACCCUACUAUCGACCCCGUGUUUCCGUAAAAGAGUUAAACUCAGUAGCAACACGGGGCAACCAUCACGGCUGUUCCUCGCGCAAUUACUUGACCUCCGCAAAAAAAUUUUGGAAAAUUUUC